rnacentral:rRNA from 1 species
CGGCGAACGGGUGAGUAACACGUGGGCAACCUGCCCCUAGCACUGGGAUAACCCCGGGAAACCGGGGCUAAUACCGGAUAUGACAAGAGAAGGCAUCUCCUCUUGUGGAAAGGGUUUCUGGCUAGGGAUGGACCCGCGGCCUAUCAGCUUGUUGGUGAGGUAAUGGCUCACCAAGGCGACGACGGGUAGCCGGUCUGAGAGGAUGGCCAGCCACAUUGGGACUGAGAGACGGCCCAA